UAAGCCAGACCAGGGGGGUAUUCCAGAAAGCAGGUUAUGUGACAUACCUGGGUAUGUUUAAGGGGUUUCCAAAUGUAAUUGGGUGCAUUGAUGGCACUCACAUUCCUAUUAAAGCUUCACCAAUAAAUGAGGGAGACUGUGUUAAUAGGAAAUCUAUUCAUAGUAUCAAUGUGCAGGACAGUACAAUGGUUACUUGCUGGGGGACAGAGGAUACCCUUGUCUGACCUAUUUAAUGACACCCUACCCUGAACCUGAGCCUGGACCACAGACACGGUUUAACCUGGAUCACAGCCGAACACGGGCCAAGGUGGAGAUGACUAAAGGGAUCCUCAAAUCUCGGUUUCAGUGGCUGCGUGGGCUCCGGGUUAGUCCAGAGAGGGCAUGCGACAUUAUAGUGGCUUGUGUUGUGCUUCACAAUAUUGCCACUAUAAGAGGAGAGAGCCACCCUCCUUGUAUUGAGGAAGAUGGCCCAGAGGAACACCUACAGAUUUUAGAGGCCAACAGAGAUGGAACACUUUUGAGAGACAGAAUCUGUCAAAAUCACUUUUAUUAUUUUUUUGCACUG